GAGAAGGGGAGUUACAAAAUUAUGCACUUCGAUGCAAUGAAGCAGUAAUUGUCUUGAUUAGAUAUCUUUCAUUAAUGUGCAUCAGCUUUGUUAAAAUCAUGGUAACUUGUAAGAUUGUGAGAUAAUCAACCUGAAAGUCACAUUUUGAUAGGAAAUCAAACAAACACAAUUCAGAAUAAUUAUUGCUGUAGUUACAUUCAUUAGGCAUCAUAAAAUUAAGCAAUUAUAUCCAAGUCCUUGAGGUUUGGUCAUAAUUACAUAUUAAGACAAUCCUUUAUUAAAAUUACAACCCAUCCCAAUCUUUUGAUUCAUUCAUAACAACCAAGUCCAAAGGCAUAUAAUUUUGUAAUUUUCCAAAAUGACCCUAAGACCCCAUGAGAAGUCUAAAUUAUCUCCUAAUUUAGACCCAGUGGGAAGUAUUAUACUAUGCAUUUACAUGGAUUUGGAAAGUUCUCUCAUGUAUUACAGUUGAUGUGGCACGCUGGCAUGCUUCAAUAUGUUUGCCAUUUGGGUGGCAGUAGGUCAGGUCUAUUUGAUCUAAGAUUUGAGUCGCUCACUCUUGUAAGUGCAAACUGGAAUCAUCCAGCGAAUUCAUUGGUUAUAAGAAUACCUGCCCUGUGAAGUUUGUUUAAGUAGCAUUCUAUCUUUGCCGUAUCAAUCCAGUGGAGGUUAAAUUUUUGUUCUUGAUCAUUUCAUUUAUUUGAUAUGGUUCAGGAAUGGCAUUGCUAACUUGGUUGGGCAUUUAAAUUGAUCGGGUCAAAAUACAGGCUGUCAAUUGCUUCUUUAUCCCGUCAUAUGUUCUAUAGUCCUUUGUCUGGUUGCAAUUCCAUGUCAUGUUUGUGGCUAAUCUGCAAUGUCCAUCAGAUUUGAUGGCCUAUAUUAGUCUCUUAAUUAGUUGCAUUGCUUCAAAAGAUUGCUAGAAAAGUUCUCUCUCUCUCUCUCUCU
rnacentral:misc_RNA from 1 species